rnacentral:tRNA from 1 species
UUAAUUGAAGCCAAAAAGAGGCUUAUCACUGUUAAUGAUAAAACUGAAUAAAUAUUCCGAUUAAA